rnacentral:rRNA from 1 species
AUUGAACGCUGGCGGCAUGCCUUACACAUGCAAGUCGAACGGCAGCACUGGAGCAAUCCUGGUGGCGAGUGGCGAACGGGUGAGUAAUAUAUCGGAACGUGCCCAGUCGUGGGGGAUAACGCAGCGAAAGCUGUGCUAAUACCGCAUACGAUCUAUGGAUGAAAGCGGGGGAUCGCAAGGCCUCGCGCGAUUGGAGCGGCCGAUAUCAGAUUAGCUAGUUGGUGAGGUAAAGGCUCACCAAGGCGACGAUCUGUAGCUGGUCUGAGAGGACGACCAGCCACACUGGAACUGAGACACGGUCCAGACUCCUACGGGAGGCAGCGGUGGGGAAUUUUGGACAAUGGGCGAAAGCCUGAUCCAGCAAUGCCGCGUGCAGGAUGAAGGCCUUCGGGUUGUAAACUGCUUUUGUACGGAACGAAACGGUGAGCUCUAAUACAGUUUGCUAAUGACGGUACCGUAAGAAUAAGCACCGGCUAACUACGUGCCAGCCGCCGCUGUAA